UACGUAGGCAGCGAGCGUUGUUCGGAGUUACUGGGCGUAAAGGGUGUGUAGGCGGUUUUUUAAGUUUGGUGUGAAAUCUCCCGGCUCAACUGGGAGGGUGCGCCGAAUACUGAAAGACUAGAGUACGGGAGAGGAAAGUGGAAUUCCUGGUGUAGCGGUGAAAUGCGUAGAUAUCAGGAGGAACACCUGUGGUGUAGACAGCUUACUGGACCACUUCUGACGCUGAGACACGAAAGCGUGGGUAGCAAACAGG
rnacentral:rRNA from 1 species